rnacentral:lncRNA from 1 species
GUGCUCUCCCGCUGUGAGAGAAGUCAGGAGGGACCAUUUGGAGCAGGGAUCUGAGAAGAUGCCCCUGUGGGUCUCCUGGGCGCAGAAGACCCUCCACAGAAGAGCCACCAAUUCUCACUCCUCUCCUUCCACAUGCCCUGGUGGACUGCAUGAGCACCUGAUGGGGUCAGAUUGACAGCGCUGGCACUCGGCUGAAUUUUGAGCAGAGGAAACAAAGACAAAAGGCAACGCAGUGUGCUCAACAGCAGCAGUACGAUGGCAUCAGUGGCUUGGCCAGUUUCCUAUGCUACUUGACUCUGUUCAUGUCCGUUUUGCAGACAUGGUCUCUUGACCCCUGCCCUGCUCUCCCUAUGUCCCCUUUUUCUCGAAUCAGUUUUUUUUUUCCCCCUACUACCUAUAACCCAAACCAACAUGACUGCCAUCUGCCUUCAUGAGAUUGCUACCAGCAUGAAGCUGGGACCCAGAACAGGAGCCAUCCUAAGGAACUGAAACAUAUUCCCCCAAAAUAGCAUUCGAAUUCAAAGUUUACAUUUUGUGUCUGAUAAGAAUAUGGCAACAAAAUACAGAAAGAGAACGCUCCUCUUCUGUGUUAAUUACUGCCACUGGAUAGUUGAGGGGUUUUGUUUGUUUUUUAUUCACCCUAUUCUCCAGGUGGGUGAGUGCCCAAAGAGUCCCUGGGGGAAG